GGCUCAGUAACAAGUAGUCAAUCUGCCCUCAGGACGGGUACAACCUCGGGAAACUGAGAUUAAUACCCGAUGCUCCACCUAUGCUGGAAUGCUUGGUGGGGAAAAUGCGCUGCAAAUUGCAGCAGUUGCGCCUGAGGAUGAGACUGCUCCUGAUUAGGUAGUUGGUGAGGUAACGGCUCACCAAGCCGAUAAUCAGUAGGGGCAAUGGGAGUUGUCGCCCCGAGAAGGACACUGAGACAAGGGUCCUAGUCCUACGGGAUGCAGCAGGCGCGAAACCU
rnacentral:rRNA from 1 species